rnacentral:sRNA from 1 species
GCCUGGCAUGGUGGCGCACACCUGUAAUCCCAGCAGCUUGGGAGGCUGAGACAGGAGAAUCACAAGUUCAAAGCCAGUCUCAGCAACAGUGAGGUGCUAAGCAACUCAGGGAGACCUUGUCUCUA